CCUCUCUAGCGGGAGCUGCAGGGAGUGAAAAGUCGACUGACAAGAAUAGAGAGAGAAAUGGGCAGAUAUAUUCGGCAAGGGAGGGGGACUGGGGGAAGGGCUCACGCGAAAACUAGAGGUGCAACUUGCACGGCACGGGGCAAUCUUCAUUUCCCACUGACCAUCCACCUCUGUUCACUGAACUCCCAAAGGCAAAGGAACCAAGCAGUUGCUCACCUGCCUAGAUCAAGGGACGUGGGAUUCAGCUGCCAACACCUGGAGCAAACCCACUUAGGAUGGAGAAGGACCAAAAACACUUUAUCAUUUCACGACCUGUGUUAAAGUACAUUAAAAUCUGGUCAAAGUGUCCUCA